AACGAACGCUGGCGGCAUGCCUAACACAUGCAAGUCGAACGAGAGCUUCGGCUCUAGUGGCGCACGGGUGCGUAACGCGUGGGAAUCUGCUCUUGGGUUCGGAAUAACAGUUGGAAACGACUGCUAAUACCGGAUGAUGACGUAAGUCCAAAGAUUCAUCGCCCUGGGAUGAGCCCGCGUCGGAUUAGCUAGUUGGUGGGGUAAAGGCCUACCAAGGCGACGAUCCGUAGCUGGUCUGAGAGGAUGAUCAGCCACACUGGGACUGAGACACGGCCCAGACUCCUACGGGAGGCAGCAGUGGGGAAUAUUGGACAAUGGGCGCAAGCCUGAUCCAGCAAUGCCGCGUGAGUGAUGAAGGCCUUAGGGUUGUAAAGCUCUUUUACCUGGGAAGAUAAUGACUGUACCGGGAGAAUAAGCCCCGGCUAACUCCGUGCCAGCCGCCGCGGUAA
rnacentral:rRNA from 1 species